AGAGUUUGAUCCUGGCUCAGAUUGAACGCUGGCGGCAUGCUUUACACAUGCAAGUCGAGCGGCAGCGCGGGGGCAACCCUGGCGGCGAGCGGCGGACGGGUGAGUAAUGCAUCGGAACGUAUCCCGUAGUGGGGGACAACCCAGCGAAAGCUGGGCUAAUACCGCAUAUGCUCUACGGAGGAAAGUGGGGGACCCGCGAGGGCCUCACGCUAUGGGGGCGGCCGAUGUCCGAUUAGCUAGUUGGUGGGGUAAUGGCCCACCAAGGCGACGAUCGGUAGCUGGUCCGAGAGGAUGAUCAGCCACACUGGGACUGAGACACGGCCCAGACUCCUACGGGAGGCAGCAGUGGGGAAUUUUGGACAAUGGGGGCAACCCUGAUCCAGCCACGCCGCGUGCGGGAAGAAGGCCUUCGGGUUGUAAACCGCUUUUGUUCGGGAAGAAAAGGCCGAGGCUAAUACCCUUGGUUCUUGACGGUACCGGGAGAAUAAGCACCGGCUAACUACGUGCCAGCAGCCGCGGUAAUACGUAGGGUGCGAGCGUUAAUCGGAAUUACUGGGCGUAAAGCGUGCGCAGGCGGUGGGCUAAGUCUGAUGUGAAAGCCCCGGGCUCAACCUGGGAACGGCAUUGGAAACUGGCUUGCUAGAGUGUGGC
rnacentral:rRNA from 1 species